rnacentral:ncRNA from 1 species
ACUCUAGUUGAUCCUGCUAGAGGGCACUGCUAUCGGCUUGGGGUUAAGACAUGCAAGUGGAACGGGCUCGCAUCCGAGUCCGUCGCGAACGGCUCAGUAGUGUCGUUAACCUACCCUGUGGAUUCGGACAACGCCGGGAAACUGGCGGUAAUCCGUCAUAAGAGCAUCGUUCUGGAAAUGAUGUUGCUCUGAAAUGAGUGUCCUAGGUAUGUUGGAUAUUUCGCCACAGGACGGGACGGCACCGGAUCAUACUUGUAAGUGGGGUAACUGCCCACUUAGGUUAUGACCCGAACGGGCGAUGUAAGUCGUGGCCCGGAGAAGGGCACUGAGAUAAGGGCCCUAGCCCCACGGGGCGCAGCAGUUACGAAACCUCACCAAUGCGCGAAAGCGCGAGUGGGCCAAGCCGAGUGAUGGGGGAUAACUCCAUCUGUGGCGGAUCCGUAAGGUGGACCGCUAGAAAGGAGAGGGCAAGGCUGGUGCCAGCCGCCGCGGUAAAACCAGCUCUUCGAGUGGUGUCCAUAAUUAUUGAGCUUAAAGCGUUCGUAGCCGGUUCUGUAGGUCCCUGCUUAAAUCCGGUCGCUCAACGGUCGGUCUGGUAGGGAUACCGCAUUACUUGGGGACGGGAGACGGCGACGGUAUUCCGUAGGUAAGGGUGAAAUCUAAUGAUCUACGGAGGACCACCAGUGGCGAAGGCGGUCGUCGA